AAUCUUGUUUGGUGUGGCUGAUUACAAGAUGAUUGUCUUCUUUAUGUAUGCAUUUUUGGAUUCCUAAAAACUGGAUUUCUAGACAGAGAAUACUGAUCGUGGAUUAAUUGUACUUUCCUAGCUCUCUGCCCUUUGUCCUCUGAUUGGACCUUGCUGCUUUUUCUAAUAUCUUCUCUCUCCACAUAAAUGCAUGAACAUGUAGGGAGGUCAUCUUUGGAGAGAAAAGACAAGAGAGAUAAUUUGCAUGAACCUGUAAGGAAGCGUCGCCGCAGCCGAAGUCGAAGUAAUAGUCCUCCACGAAAAUCAUCUAUGAAAGACAGGGAUAGGGACAGUGAAAUUAACAGAGAAAGAGAGAGACGUCGAGAAAGGGAAAGACAUGGUUUAGAAAGUGAAAGGGGAAGGGAUCGUGAAAGGGACGCGAAAAAAGUGGAAGCAGGGAGAGGGAUGAUCAUGACAGAGAAAAAAGCAGGGAAAGAGACAGAGAAAGGAGAAGGGUGAAAUGAGUUGGUAGGUGUGAUACUGGAAAUGAUUGUUGGUUGCAAUGAAGAGGGGCUUGGUUUGCCUUGGGUUGAAAUAGGUUCCUAACAUUUGUUUGAACUUGCAGUGCUGCAUAAUGGUUCUGAUCCCAAGAUUGAGCUCUCCGAUUUCCAGGCACAAACGGGCUUUUUUUUUUUUUCAGAAGAUCUGCCUGAAUCAUUAUGUUAGUCAUUUUGGAAACUUUUAUAGCCUCAGAUUUUCUGUGAAAGAUGUUAUAUCAGUUGCGAGCCCUUUUAUAUAUUAAUUAUAUAAAAUACGCCUUAGAAUUUUUACCUCAGUAAUUCUGUUUCUAUAUUGUUUCAGGCAUUAGCCUCAUCUGUCUUUCUGUCAAAAGUUUAUGGCACUAUCAAUCACAUUGAACGGGAGAGUGAAGUUCGUCAGGCAUGAUUUAUAGUUCAAUCGAGCUCAUGAUUGCUUGAAUCUGUUUGAUCACUUCAAGGGAACAGGAGUUUGAUUGAAUUAGCGUGGAAGUAGGUUCGAAAUUUUUACAAAUGCUAUGCAAAAUGAAUAUUCCUUCCACCAGGUGUCAGUUAUCUCAAGUAAGCUAAACAUGGGUCAAGCAUUAAUCUAAUCUGUAUGGCGCAGAACUGAACCUGCACAAGCAACUUGAACUGCUCGAAGUACUUGUUAUAGAUAUCUGAGGCUCUAUUCCGGUGUCCUGUUUUCGGCCUUAUUUAAAGAAACAAAAAAAUUUGUGCAAAAUACCAUCUACAGUGAUAAUCUAAAAACCACUUAAGUUAUUGAAAAACACCAAAAUGAAAGUGCAUUACAUAGGAUAUCGGUGAAAAAUAGAGGAUGUUUGAGUAUUUUUGGACAAAUGUCAGCAUUUUUUUUAAACAACUAUUAUGAGUUAUGGUAAGGUUUUAAAACAAACCAUCUAAAAAUCAUACCAUCCAAACGGAGCGUGAAGUGUGAACAUCUCGUUAUAGACUAAUUAUUAACACUACAGUGCUGGGGUAAAAUUUGACGCUGUGAAGUGGCCGACUAAAAUUAGUGCGAGUAUAUGUUUUCAAAUUUUUAAAGAGUAUAUUAUGACACUUUCCGGAUUAUAGGAUAACGCUGAAAUUUGGAUGCAUAAAAAGAAUGAAAAUGAAAUUAUUACAUGAUAUACUGUUACUUCAUUCGGACAUGCAUAUGGUCUAAGUUUUUUUUUUUUUCAGUACAACAUUAUUACAAUUGAUUCUAUACUCGGGGAAAGGGGUUAGAGAUAGACCUAUCUAAUCUAUUGAGAAGUUCAAAGGAGCUAAAUAACACUCGUCCGUACUCCAAGAGAUUCUGGAGAGAAAACGCAAUCAGGAGGGUUCAAUCCCCUAACCUAUGCCUAGGGAAAGACUUGGUCCAUCCUCUGGUGGCCAACUGAGCUAAUUAAGUUGGUUAUGGUCUAAAUUAACCCUUGAAAUGUAUGUGUCUUUUGUUUGACUUUUGUAUGUAGUUAGGUAUUGCUUUUACUUGUAGAAGAGUGUGUGGAUUUUGUCGUAAUUGCUGGUACUUCACCCAAGUUUGAGCUUUCUAACUCAUCAAAUUUGCAACUUUGGAAAAAAUAAAAAAUAAAAUAUUAUUGCAAUGCGCAAGGCAAAAAGGAUCACAAUACUGUCAGAAAGAUGAUUAUCAUACCAUGGUUGUAAAGAUAGACCUUGAGGUUGAACCUACAUGUAGUCAACCAAAUGCCACGAUCUGUAGAUAUUACCAAUCAAAUGUAUGCCUUACUUUGUUUACAUUGAUUGGUUUGUCAAAUCAGGGGAUGGAUCAUGGAUCAUAUAUGGUUGCCAGCAAGCGAAGAUUGUUUGCUCUUGAUGCAGUUAUUACAACAGUCUCUGUCAUGUCUAAAUCGUUAGAAUCAAGGCCAUUUGGAAGUCUCCAGUCAAAAUGGUAAAGCAAAAGAGCUAAAGGAAGCUCAACAUUGGCCAAACAAAUGCAAUUCCCGGGCAAAUUCUCCUUCCUGCACCAAAUGGUAGAUACUCAAAGUGACUUCCAUUGAAAUCAAUGGAGCUGUUUUCAAAUCUCUCUGGUUUGAAAGAUUCUGCAUCAUCCCAAUACUCGGGGUCUCUUCCGAUUGCCCAAGCAUUAACCAAGACUCUUGUUUUGACGGGAUAAUAUAUCCAUCGAUUUCACAUUCCUCCCUACACUCUCUUGGAAUCAACAAAGGGAUUGGAGGGUGUAGCCUCAAAGUUUCUUUGAUCACUGACCUUAGGUAUUGCAGUCGUUGAAUAUCAGUUUCUUCAAUCGUGUUUUUUCCUCUAAAAGCAUUCCUUAUUUCACUCUGUGCCUUAGCCAUUACACCUGGAUUUCUGAUCAUCUCGGACAUCGCCCACUCCACCGUUGUGGAUGAAGUUUCAGUUCCCCCUGCAAACACAUCCUGCAUCAAAGUCAAUGCCAAAAUUAUUUGUAAGAGACUAACGAUGUAAUGGUAGUAGUAAGCAAAAAAUUGGUUAAACACUCACAGAAAGAACAGCUUUGAUAUUGUCCUUGGUAAGUGGGAUUUGAAGCUCACCGCUUUCUUUAACUCUUAGCAGGACAUCAAUUAUGUCUUCAUUGUCCGAUGCACCUGUUGCUAUUUUUUUCUUGCUAAGUUGUCCAUAUGCUGAUCAAUUAUUUUGUCCAGAACUUUAUCUAGCUUAUAGCGGAUAUUUAGCAUUUUAUUCUUCACCGAAAGGAAGGGAUGAAGAAUCUUGAACGAUGGUAACAGAUCAGAAACAUCGAAGGCACUUGCUAUGGAAGAUGAUUCCUUGAUUAGCUGAAAGAAUGCAAAAUGAUCGUCAUUGCUUACUUUGCCGAAUGCUGCUCUGUAGAGAACCGCACUUGCGUAUGAAGACAUCUUUUCCGUUACAUCAAUUGAUUUUCCAGCAUUAGCCAGAGCCUUAAUCGAUGAGACAAGAUGCAAAGCCUCCUCUUGCCGAAUAGAUCCAAUGAUCGGACACUUUUAGAACUAAGGAGUUCCAAGGUGCAUAUUUUGCGCAUUUGUCUCCAGUAAUCACCAUAUGGACAGCAAGCGAUGUCCGAACAAUUAUACAACAUGAUCUUUCCCGCUAGAGUUUCUCCACGAUUUGCAAAGGCAAGAUCAUGAGUUUUCAUAAUCUCUUUUGCUAAGCGGGGGCGAUGUUACCACAAUCGAAGAAAUUUCACCUAGCUGAAUGUGCAUCAGAGGUCCAUAUUUUUGAGCUAAUUUUCUGAGAGCAUGAUGCGGUGGAGAACCUGACAAAUGAUGCAUAUGUCCUAUAAUAGGUAGUUUCCAUGGAGAUGGUGGUAGUUUCUGGGCUGUUUUUGAUCUCUUCAAUACCUUGAUCAAAGUUAAAACAAAGGCUAUGAACAGAAAGAAAGCAGUGAAGUUGAGGGGUAGAUCCAUUCUUUGGCUCUCUUGCUCUCUUUGCAGUUUGCACUACUUUACGACCUUUUCUACUCACAAAAACACAUAUUAAUACAGUAGGUAUAUGGAUUACUAUAGAAACUUACUACAUAUAUUCAUGAGGGUACAAGUUACUUUCUUAAGAGUUAGUUCUUAAUUAGUUAUCUUAAUUAUCCAGCACAACUUCUAUGUCAUAUAGUCUUUGCCAAGUUGUACUGGUCAAAUAUUGUUGGUCAAACGUCAACAUCUGCACAAAUUGAUAAAUAGUACAAGUAUGAUAACUUAAAUAAUCACUGAGAAUUAAAUAAAGUGUCAGAUCAUGCAAGUGUGAUAAUCACUGAGAAUUAAAUAAAGUAGUUUGGCUAUCAGCUGAAGUGUCUCACAAAUAAUGAAUUCCAAAGUGUUGACAGCAUUGAACUGUUUCGAAUCUCUUGCCGUUUUGUUGACGUAAGCUAUAAACGAGGAAUAGGACAAAAAACAAAGCAAUGAAGUUGAAGGGAUGUUGCAUUAUUGCUGCCUGUAUUUUUCAUUUUGGCAGCGUUGAUUCUAAAGCCUUUGUUGACAAAACAGGCACGUAUCAUUUUCACCGGGGAAAUCAUAAGGUGUAUAUUGGCCACAUUUAGAAUCUAGAAUAGGAACAAAAUUGUUGACACUGAAUUAAUUAUUUAAAUAUUAUAUUGGUUAAUCCCAACUUACAUCGUGCCGCCUGUGAUUAAAACUGUAAUACUUUCUAGGAAAAAUGGCCAAUUUCGUCCAUAAACAUUUUUACUAGAGCUAAUUUAGUCCAUAAGUUUUAUUUUUAGCAAUUUGAUACAUAAACUUAAUUUUUGGGUCCAAUUAAAGUCCUCUGCGGCGGUGCCACCGCAUAGAAGCGAUUUGGCUCUUAAUUUAAUAAUUAAACAAGGGCAUUUUGGAAACUUUGUGUACUGUUCUCCUUCCACCAUCAAAGGCAAUCUCCUCCAUCAACCAUCAAACUCCACUAUCCGCCAACCACCUCCUCCUUCCUCCCCCACCCUCCUCCUCCUUUUCUCCUCUUCCCCUAUUUUUUUCAUCAACAUCUCGCUCCUACUUCUCUCGCCCAUCCCCUUUUUCACCACCCCUUGCUUCUCCCUCACCCUCAGGAGUUUGGGUCAAAGAGGCAGCACAUAAUUAAGAAACCCAAUUCAUCAAUUUCAUGUUUAGAAUUUCAAAUCAUCUAUAAGGUAAUCAUAACAGGACCAUGGCAAACGUCAAAGUAAUGUAAUGGAACCUCAUGAUCUCUUUUCAAGGUGUACCAGACUCAUCAUGGUUGCUUAAAAAUCGUAUACUUCCUUUCCAUGAUUCAUUGUACAAAAAGACCAAUAUCUUGAGCAAAUGUGCAAUCCUUUCUAUACUAAUCUCUUGACCAGUACCGUCAUUGACUUAAAUAUGUGAUGGAAAUAGCUUAUAAAAGAUAACACUAUAAUAACUUUGGGAAACAUAUUCUUUUAAAGCCGGUUAUGCCAGUGGUGAUCACCUUUGCAGCAAGAAAAUGGCGACAGUGAUUGGAUGCUAGAGUUUUCUUCUUAUUGCAAAUUCUUUCUUGCAAUGAUGAGACGGUCAGGAAUGAUUUAGAAAGGGCUUAUUCGGAUUGUUUAUAUGAUGGGGAAAAUGAAGGGAAAGGAGUAGUGGGAAAGAAAUGCUGGUGAAAGGGAUACAGGGGAGAAAAGGAGAGGAGGUAGAAGUGGAAAAAGAAUGGUGGGGGAAGAAGGAGCAGGUGGGUGGCGAGAUGGAGUUUGGUGGUGGAGAGAGGAAAGUUAUGGAGGAGUGGAAAAGGUAGUGACAAGUAACAGUGUCGAAGGAGGUGGAACGGUGGCCGGGUUGACCGAGGCAAGGGGUGGUGGAGGAGAAGAGAGGGGAUGAGGUAGAGAAGGGGCUGGAAACUGAUUAAAAAUUUUAAAAAUACCCCCAAAAACUUUUAAAUUUUAAAAAUACCUCAAAAUUAAUAAUUUUUUUUGGUUUACUUGGUUUUUAUUACAACCUACAUCCAAAAUUCCUAAAAUACCCCUAUUUAGUUAUUAAAUUAAGAGCCAAAUCUUUUUAAGUGGUGGCGCCGCCGCAGAGGGCCUUAUUUGGACCCAAAAAUUAAGUUUAUGUAUCAAAUUGACUAAAAAUAAAACUUAGGGACUAAAUCAGCUCUAGUUAAAAUAUUUAGGGACGAAAUUGGUCAUUUUCCCUACUUUCUAUUUUUAAAUGUUUCAAAAUAUUCAAAUACUGAAUUUGUGCGGAUAAGAUUAGAAAGAAAAGCACAACAUCACAUUCAAACCACUAUUUUUAAAAAUUGGAUUCUCGAAACAUUACAAAAUAAUCUUAGAAAUAGGAGGGAAUAACAUUUAACUGAUCUUAGAAGUCAAUUAUUUUGCCAUUCUCAUUCUUAUGGGGAUCUUUUUUUUAAAUUGGCUGGUGUUGGUGUUACUAAUGCCAGGGCAAUUUUCUUUUCAAAUGAUGGAUUUACCCUUUAUAAUUGGACAUUUUUUUAUUUUUACCAUUGAAGGUUAUAUUUGACAUUUUUGGAAGAUAAUUGUUAUGACCAAAAUGAUUAAUGACAUAUUUUCUGAAUGUCGCGCACCAUUUUUGAAAUAAAAGGAAAGGUGUUUAAACAUGAGUUUUUUAUUUUGGAAAAUAAAGAAAAAUGGCCUAAAAUGGGAUGCAAUGGUUUGGGCCCAAAAUAAUAGUCUAAAAAAGGGUUUUUAGAAAAAAAAAAUCGUCACUUGAUAUCGAGUUUAGAUUUACUAAAUUACCCAAAAAUAUUUUUAAAAAAUUAAAAUAUAUAAACCCUUUUAAACGACUCCAAAUCUUUGAAAAUGAGAGAAGAGGGUUUGGGAGUUGUGGUUGAAGAAAUGAAAGACAAAGAUUUGAUCGACUCAAAUCUAAAGCACCCUUUCAACCUAACCAAGAUUAAUUGCAAAAUUUAGUAAAAAAUUUUCAUAAUCCAACCUCUAAACUUAUUACAUUUGGAUGUUUCUAUAUAGAUACAAACCUAAAUCUAGAGGAUAUCGGGAGAAAUGAAAUGUUUUUUCAAAAUUUAAUUGAUACCAAUCACAUUAAUUGUGAAACCCAAGAAUAAUCCAUUGAAGAAGUCACAAAAAUACAAAAGAUGAUAUUCGAAGAAAAGAAAAUUAUGAUAUAUAGAUAAAUAUACAUGACCUAAAAGAGAGGAAUGCAACAUAAUGGAUACGAAAAACUAAAAUUCAUGACACAAUUUUCCUUCUUAUAGAGGGAUAAUAGCGUGCUAAGGCUAAGAAGUCAUACUCGCCUAUUUCCCAUAUUCGAAGGGUGACUCUUCUAAUUUAGACAAGCAAAUGGACUAACCUAAUUUUCUAAUUAGCUAAAUGAAAUGCAAGUUUAAAUGAUAUGGUUUGCGUAUAUAGGGAUAAGGAAUACUAUAAGAGAACAUAUCAUGCAAAUGAAAAUAAACAAUAGAAAAAAUGCAUUAGAUGCAAUAAAUGUCACACCAAAGUAUAAUCUAGCAUGUAGAUGGUCUAAGGGUCUAAUAUUAGAUUAACCCAUUUCUAUAAGUUCUUACUAGCGUGGACUAGUGACAAAUUGGGGAGAAAAGUCAUAAUUAGCAUUGGACUAGUGUGGGUGACAUCAUGAACUCAUUAUAAACACAUAGCACAUAAAGUAUAUAGAGCACGUAAAGUACAUAAUCAAAACAAAUAAACACAUAAAGUACAUAUAGCACGUAGAGUACAUAGCACAUAGACAUAAUAUUUAUAUGCAAAACCCUAGGAAAAGUAAAUAAAACACAUAAGCACAUAAACACACAAGUACACAAGCACAUAAAAGCUAACUAUUCCAUUGGGAGCCCUAACUAUAAUUUAAAAGGGGAAAUAUAAGAUAAUAAACAUAUCUAACUUAUCUAUUAUCUUUAUCUAACUAAUUACAAUUCUUGCAAAAAUAAAACCUAUCUAUUACAUUAUCUAUCUUAUUAUAUUUCUUGCACAAGAGGAUAUAACCUAUCUAUUACAAUAUGGGCAUUUAAAUACCGCUCAAACAAUCAUAAGACUUAAAUUAAACAUAUAUAAAAUGAAUAAAAGUUUAAAAUAAAUAAAUAAAAGAAAAACACGUAACACAUACAAACAUAUAGGAGCGCAUAAAAAGAAUUUAAAGGAUUAUAGGGGUAUCUCCCAUUUAAAUUAGCAGCUAAGUGAGGGGAAAGGAGAGUUGUCUAUUUUUUCAAAAUCAACAAAUGGGUCAAUGAACCAAUUUAAUUGACAAUUAAUUAUUAAAGAUAAAUAAAAUUAAUUUAAUAAAUUAACACUCCAAGCAAUGCAUAAAGAAUCAAAAAGCCAUAGGGAAUCUUAAUAAUAAAAGCUACAAAGAUUCUUAGGGACUAAAAUGAGAAAAUCAAAAGUUGUUGGGGGAAAAUGAAUUUAUUAAAAAUUAGGGGAUAAAAUGAAAAUUCUGCCAAAAUAAUUUUUACUACCCUAUUAUUCAUAAUAUAAUCAGAUUUGAACUAAUCAACCACCAAAAAUGAUUUUGAGCCAUUGAACCAAAAACUAUUUGCAUUAAUUUCUAAAGUUGCCAAAUUGAAAAUCUAAAUUUAGCAAAUUUAUUUAAACCCCAAUUAUGCUUAAAAAAAUCAGAAUUAAUUCACCCAAAAUGUGCAUAAAACAUAUAAAUAGAGAUCAAGAUUUUAAAAGGAAGAAAUUUAUUCAUUUUCACAAAUUUUGGGCCAUAUCAUAAUUAUGCAAAUAUUAAGGACCAAAAAUGCAAAUUUCUUAUGACCUAUUCGAAAUCAAAACCUACGAAAAUCCUACAAUAGCAUGAAUGAACAGUAUCCUCUUUCUUUGUUUUUUUUUUUAACAAAAUUUUUCAGAAAACAAGAUUCUUACAUUUGAUAAACAUGUCCCUUACCUUUGUAUAACCCCAAAAGGAAAAAUGGUCAAAUUCGUCCUUAAACUUUUUUUUAAUGUCAAUUUAAUUCUUAAUUUUUGUUUUCGGCCAAUUUGAUCCCUAAACUUAUAUUAUGGUUUCAAUUAAGGAUUUUUACGGCGGCGCAACCAAAAAAAUCGAUCAAACUCCUUAUUAACCAAUUAAACAUGAGUAUUUUAGGAACUUUAGAUAUCUCCUCCUCCUAUUAUCAACCUCCACCGUCUGCCACCCAUCUCCUCCUUCUUCUCUCACCCCACCUUUCUUUUCCCUCCCGCAUUCUUCUCUUUUCCCUCCCUCUAUUGUUUGCCUGUUCUUAGCCUGGUGGUUACUGACAUGAUAGAGGGAGGGGAAAGAGAGGUGGACUGAGAGAAUGAGGAGACGGGUGGCAUGCAGGCGAGGGAAAAAAACCAUUCCUAGUGUUUGCCGGGUCUUAGCGAGGGAAAAAGACAAAAAGAAAAAAAUCAUAACAAAGAGAAACAAGUCAGCUUCUUGGCUGGAUCCGAUGCCUAAAUAGCGGGCCAGGCAAUUAAUUUCAAAAAAUCUUGCGAUAAGAAAGUCACUAGUAUCACUCUCCUGGAUCUGAUGCUUAGCUGAUUUUUCAGGCCCUUUUUCUACUGGUAAGUGGAGCAGCAGCUGCUACUUUACUUUCACUCUUAUUUUUCCCCCAUUUUUUCUUUUGGUUGGUAAUAUUUUCGGAGGAGUAAUUGGAAUUGGGAGUUUUUGUUUUUUUUUUUUUGUGUUUGGGGGGGGGGUAGUUUGUUCCGGCAUGCGCACUCUAUCCCAAAACUGUACGCAAGUGUUUUGUGGCAAUUUCUUCUUUUGCCAAAGUAAUAAACAAAAAAAAACAGAACUCUUAUUUGAGUUCUGUGUUUCCAAUUAACUCGUUCAUUAGAUCUUUCCUUCAAAUCCUAUUAUCUAAAUGGACACAUGGUUGGAUUACAUUUAUCCAUUCUUUUCCUUAAUCAUCAUUUGUUUCCCUGUUUGAUCAUUCUGAGACGAGAAAAACUAGUUAUUGCGAUUGGAUUCCUUCAAGAUGGAAUUUUGCUGCUUAACCAACAACUUAAGCUAACUUGAUGGCAAAUGGUUCCCACUUCCCACAAUCCCCAAUCCCUCGAAGAGAAGGUCGGUAAAUGGGAUUUCAAAACUUUUAAUUGUUCGGUGAUGAAUAAAGCAUGAAGAAGUCAUGCCGCAAUGGAUUGAAUAUGAACCAGGCAAAUUGUUUGCUAGGACUAGGCAAACACUAGGAAAGGCAGGCAUAAUUACUGACAUGAUAGAUGGAGGGGAAAAAGAGGGGGGAUGAAGAAGAUGAGAUGGGUGGCAAGCGGUGGAGAUUAAUGAUAGAGGGAGGAGAUAUCUAAAGUUCCUAAAAUACCCCUAUUUAAUUGGUUAAUAAGGAGUUUGAUCGAUUUUUCUGGUUGCGCCGCCGUAAAAAUUCUUAAUUGAAACCAUAACAUAAGUUUAGGGAUCGAAUUGGCCGAAAACAAAAAUUAGGGAUUAAAUCGAUAUUAAAAAAAGUUUAGGGAAGAAUUUGGCCAUUUUUCCCAAAUUUUUUUAACUUUUUUCAAAUUUACCCUCUCAUUUAAAUUUUUUCGAUAACGUAAGCACCGUGCGUAUAGCAUGGAUAUUCACGCUCGUUUAUAAUUAUGCAAAAACUUGUGUAGAUUUGAUCUACAAUCUCACACGUAGACCACUUGGUCUACAUUAAGCCACAUCAUCAAUCAUAAUUAUUUGUCCAACUAUAUCAUCUUCCCUCAUAAAAGCUAACCAUGGUUAAAAUUGUUGCAACACUAAAACUCCCAAGCUCACGUUCCAGACACGGUUUCCCCAUCAUAGCGAAGUGCCGAAUAUUUAUUUAAUCUAGGCGCCUCUGUCAUCAAAACCACAACCAUUUUCACAAUCAAAUUUUGGAAUCCACGGACUAUAAGCUUCUCAUAUUAGUCUUACAAGUUCUAUUAAAAUCCUUUUCUUUUCUUUUUUUUGUUUUUUGCCUUCCUCUGAUGAUUUGACCAGCAUUUAACGGCUCUGGUGACUUGUGGCCAAGCUCCAAAAAAUCCAACUAUUUUCAACAUCACUGGAAAAGCAGGAAUGGAAGUUGCUGUGCAAAGUGAAAACGAACAAAUUUCACCUACUCAAAAAAUAAUAAUCAUUUAUACAAUAAUAAAACCUUUGCAAGUAGUUAAUUUGGUGUUAACUUUACGUGUUUCCAAAUUUAUCUUUAUCUCUAUUAUCCAUCAACUUUUAUCUAUACAAUAUAUAAAGGGCAAACUUCAAAAUUUACCUUUAUCUCUAUUAUUCAUUAACUCUUAUCUAUACAAUACAUAAAGAGAGAGUGUCAUUGUGUGGUAUAACACACAGUGUCAUUCUUUAAAAUUUAUAAUAUACCCUUAAUUAUAAAGACAAAUUUGUCUCAACAACAGACAGUUAUUUGAAUCAACAGAUAAUUAUCUAUUCAAUUGUCAACUAGCUACAACUUUCUCGUGCUAAUUCGAGAAUUCUCUCUACUUCUAGAAUAUUCAUUUCGCGUAUGAUUAUCUACAUUAUAAUGAAUUUGAUCCAUAAAAUUCAUAAAAAGUUUUUUAAAUAGAUAAUUGUGAUAAAUAUAUUUUUUUGUUAAUUGCACACAUGUUAAAGUGUGCGUCAAGCACUAGUAAUAAUAAAACCACUAUUUACCUCCCUAGAUCCAAUCACAAAAUGUCAAUGACAAAAUCAAGCAAACAUGGUAGCUUAAAAAAAAUAGAAAAUUAGCCCACUAAACUAAUGAAUUUACACAAAAAAAAUAACCAAUAUAUAUCUUGAUGUAAAAAAAGAAUAAUAGAGCAAGGAUUGAUAGAGGACGAGUUGCAGAAAUGAGACAAAGAACAAACACAAAAGGUGGGGUUUGUUGAAAUGGAAGAAGAAAAGAGAGAUGAUUCCUAAUUGUUGUCCAUGAAAAAUGUGUUUGGGGAAAUCAAUGGAUUUGGUUAUGUGUGGGCAAAAAAAUAGGAGGUAUAGGAACUGUUUCGUUGGCGAGGGGAAGACGGAAGAGAUGAGAGGCAGCAGAGUGAGAGGGUUCAUGAAGGAAGAGCUCAUUUAAACAGGAAAUGAAGGCCUUGUUCGAUGAAAAAGUCAGAUCUGAACUUUUGAGACACUGUAGAAAUUUUGGCGAUGAUGGAAGACAAGAGGAAUACUCUUUAAUUCUGAUUGGACUUUACCGUUCAGAAUGGACUUUACCAUUUUGAAUGGAUCAAAAUUUGGUGAAUUCUUUAGAGGGCGAAAAACCCCAGCGGCUACUAAACUAUUGUCUGGAUCAUGCUUUGGUCAUUGAACUAUUUUUCGUCAAUAAUUGGCUAUUAAACAACUUAAUCAGUAAACCGUAGACCAUUUCGUCAGUAAUUGCUCUUAAUUUCUGAAAUUAGCAUUACACGUGACAAAGCGCUAGGGCAAUUUUGUCCAGCAAUUUACUGACCGUUUAUUUACAUAAACCCAUCAACUGAAAAGAAAAAAAGAAGUGCAAGCCAAUUAAACUAACUUUCAUUCUCAAAAUUGUUGUAAAUAAUCUGGGAGCUCAAGCUUAGGGUUAUGAAGAUCGAAGAGAAGGGAAAAUCGUGGUGAACCUAUGUAUUGGAUCAUCAGGAGAAGAGACAUCGACAUUGAUCCAUAUGAAAUUUACAUUAAGUUUUUUGUUUGUUAAAAAUCAUGUAAAUGAACUAAAAUUAUAGUUUAACCUAAAUGUAAUGGGUGUACUACUCAAAUGGAUGAAAAUCGUGGAGUACUACAUAAGUUUGUCUUUGAUAUCGAAGGUGCUUACUUGUGGGUUGUGAAUAUGUAGCAGUAUUAUGGGGUUUAAAUGUUAGGUUUUCAUCCAACUGUUAGUUGUAAAAGUGGCAAAUUUUGAACUAUAUUACAUCAACAAGUGUUUUUUUCAGCCUUGUUUUUUCAAAUGAAGUGAUUCCAUUUUUUCCCAUUUCAUUGCAGUGCGUAAUUCUAAGCUAUUCAGUAUUAGAAUGUUUCACUGUGGUAGAUUUAGUGGGCAUCAGUAUAAAACAUACGUUGGUGGUGAAAUAGAUUAUGUUGAUGUGUGUAAUGCAGAGAGAAUGUCUGUCCAUGAGAUAAAUGCCAUGGUUGAGGAAUUAGGACAUCAUGGUUCAAUGCUCUAAUAUUACUUAGAACAUGGGAGUGAUUUGAAUAAGGGAUUAAGAGAGUUACAAGGAGAUGCAAAUAUAAAUGUAAUGUUCAAAUGGGUGUAUGAGCACAAACUGAUAGAUGUUUACUGUGACCAUAGGUCAAUACAUGAAAUUCUUGAAAUCCAGUCAAAUUCCCCACUGUUAGGUAGUAAAAAAAACAAGGGUUGUAAUUGAAGAAAUUGAUGGACAUAGUAGUGCAGUUGUAGAUGAACAUGGCAGUGGAGUUGUAGAACUUGAUCAAUAAUUGGUCGUUAGAAAAAAUCUUUUUGGUAGGUCUUUUGUUAGUGCAAAUAUGACUGCCCCUGGACCAACAAUGGGAGGUGCAAGUAGAGGUGAAGGUGUAAGAGUAAGUGUUGUCAUUGAGGGAGAAACUAGUGGGACUGGUGUAAAGAGUGGGAGUAUGGGAGAUAAAGCUGAUGUGAAUGCAAGGGAAGUUGAAGAAGAUGAUAAAGAUGACAGUAGCUCGAAAGGGGAGCAUUUCACUGAUGACGAAGAUUUUUGCAAAGAUGAUCAGAUGCUUGGGAGUGAAAGACCAACUCCCACAGUUGAAAUUCCCCCUCCUAUUACGAGGAGAACUAUUGAAUCUAUACUCCAUGAGAGCUAGGAUGUAAAUGGCUUGGAAAGUGGUCCACAUGGAGGUGGUCAACAUGAUGCCCAAGUUGAAAAACAAUCACAGGCAACUGAUGGAGCAUCUGGUGGUAGCAAGAGAGCCAAGAAAAAGUAUGCUAGAAAAACAACAAGAGGGAAAAGAAAGUGGACAGCAAGAGGGGAGAAGACAUCAUCAGCACAGGCUGACCAUAACACAUCUUCACAGGCUGCUCAGAAUACAUCACAGGCAGUUGCUAAAGAAAUGGAAGAAGCUGAUGAUAAAGAUGUGUUGCAUGACAACAUGUUGAAAGAUGACCUGCAUAGCACUGAUGGUUCUUCUGAUGAAGAUGAUGAAGUGCUGAAGGGAAUAUAAUAUGUUGACUUCAAUGUUGAAAAGGACAUGAGAAAUCCACAUUUCCAGGUUGGGAUGCGAUUUGCAUCAUCAACUGAGUUCAAGGUCGCAAUCUAGAAUUAUUCUAUUGCUAAUAGUAGAUCUGUUUGGUACUACACUAAUGAAGAACUCAGAGUAAGGAUAAGGUGCAAGGAUCCAUGCAACUGGGAGUGUUAUGCUUCUCAAGAGAAGGCACUUGGGUCGAAUGAUUUGGUCAUUAAGACCCUUUAUGAUGUACAUGAAAACUGCAAUCAUGCCUGGAAAAAUAAAAUGGUGACUGCUAAAUGGGUUGCUGGGUGAUACAAGGACAGAAUUAGGGUCAAUAUGAACAUGUUGACUUUGGUCGAUCAAUCCUUGGUUUUGAUGAUUAACAAACCAAAAUGUAGAUUUGGUCUAAUGUUUUUAUGUGAGAAAUUUGUUAGAAUCAGGUUCAAUGGUGUCAAGGAAAGAAAACCAACCAAAUGAAGAAGCAAAAUCAGGUCACUCAUGUCGGACGGCCAAAAGGAAACUAUCGGACGUCCGAAAGGAUGAAGAACAUCAAGAAGGAAACUCUGUCGGACGCUCGUGAGGAAGCAUCGGACGUCCGGAAGGAUCGGACGCACGCCUCGGACGCACAUCGAUCGCAUCGGACGUCCGAGAAAUUUCGCAAAGAUUUGAUGACUCUCUACCUACGUUCGGACGCAGGGUUCGGACGUCCGACAGGUGGUUCGGACGUCUGACAGGCACCUGUCGGACGUCCGACAGGCCAACGGCUAGUUUUGACAGCAAUUAAUAUUUGACCGUUGGAGAGUCUUUUGGAGCCAUUUCUCACCUUCUAUAAAAACCCCAAAGCACAAGAAGACUAGAGACUUUUGCCAACACAAAAUACAAGCUUACAAGUGAGAUUUUUGAGUAGAAAGAUUCUUUGUUGGUUGUAUAAGGGGUUGGGGAAGUUGGGUUGUGAGGUUGCUCAAGUGAAGGUUACUCUCUUGGAGUAGUAAAACCUUGGUGAAGGUGAACCAAUCACUUGGAGUGGUAAAACCUUGGUGAAGGUUGCCUCAUUUGUAUAAAAUAGUUCUUAAUUGGGUGAGUGAUCUUUCAAGUGUAGGUUGUUGAGGGUUAACUAGAAUAGUUGUAAAACUCCUUGGCUCAACCAAAGAGUAUUUGGGGUGAGGAAGGAGUGAGCCUUCACUUGUACAUCUUGGUUAGCAUCGCCAUCAAUUGAAGAGACUAUUGGUUUGAUAUUUGGUUUGCAUUUCUUAUGUUUUCUCUUUAAUUAAGUUUUCUUUAUUGUGCUUAAAUUUGAUAUAUCUUUGUGCAUCAUUGUGAAUUUGUUUGUACUCAUUGGGUUGCACCGGGCUCUUACAGAACAUUCCAGUCCAUUCUUUGAGGCAGACAGUGUAUGAGGAGUACAAGAUACAAGUAUCAAAAAUAAUAGCUAGAAAUGCUAGAGGUAUAGCUGUUGACAAAAUCAAAGGUUGUGCAGUUGAAUAGUAUAAGCAUUGUAAGGAUCCAAGACAACCAAGUGAAAGAGAUAAACAAUUUAAAGAUCACAAAUGUAACAGUAAAUAAAAAGGAAAGGAUUGCAAAUCAAUUAACUACCCAACUCCUCUUGAGCUUGUAGAUUAAUUGAAACAAACUACUUCAAGUUGAUGAAUUACAAUCAUUCUUGUGUACAAAGGAAGGUUCACCUCUUCCUUGCCCGAACUCCACUCGGUCAAGCCAGGACGUUUUACUAUCCCUCAGGACAACCCUCACAGAGCUACACUCAUGAAAUAUUCACUCACAAAUGAAAAGCUUACAAAAAACCUCACACCACUAAACUACAAAUCUUCUUUGAAAAGUAUUUUCUCACUAAAAUCUCUCUAGAUCUUUUGUAUUUUCAGUGUGCCAAAGUUAUUUGAAAUAUCUGACCAACCACUAUUUAUAUAGAACCAAGAAAGUGCCUCAUAAAUGCUUCCAAUGGAUAGAAAGUAGCUGAACAGUCAACUAUCCGUUGGCAGUGUCGGACGUCCGAUAGCCCUGUUUUAUGCGUCCGACAGCAGGCAGAGAGUUUAACAAAUUUUCUUCAAUUCUUUCGGACGUCCGAUAGGCUGGUUUUCUGCGUCCGAAAAUACUCAAUGGUUGUCGGACGUCCGAUGCAGUCUUUUUGAGCGUCCGACAGCUUUCAGAAACUUUUGUCUUCUUUCAAUAGCACUUGUUCAUGAAAUCACAUAACUUAAUUACCACUUAAAGAACCAGGACAUGUCCUGAGGCAAUGAGCAGCAUAUAAUUGAUUAAUUAUUUGGGAAGAGAGGCUGAAAGUACUGUGGAUAAAGAAAGGAUGUGAAAACUGCCUUUGUUGAUGGUUUUCCUAUGUAAUUCGACAUCCAAUGGAUGAUUUGCAUCAGAAGCUUUUAUCUUAUCUAUCAGGUGUCAUCAUCCACGCAAUUUUGUAAAACAGUUUGAGUUAGGAGUUUCGUAGAACAGUUGAAUAUGGAUAAUAUGGAAUGUUUUGCUGCCAGUGUUGAAGAGGGAGCAACAGUGGAAUGCCAUCUGACUUCAAAGAUGAUGGAGAUGAACUGUUAUAUGUUAAUGUCUCAGAACCUCUUAAUAGUUGGGCGUGAAGAAAUAAUGUCAACUUGUUAAGACAGUUGAAAACAAAAUGUGAGGCUUGUUUUUUUGAAAAAUUUAUGGAAGCCUCCAUGUCUCAGAGGUGGUUAUCAUGAUAUGUGCUAUGUAAAAAUCAUUUUUGUCUGUGAGUUGGUGCGGGGUACUGAUUUGAUUAGCUUUUCUGCUUGUGAGAUUUUUUGGGAUUUAAUUGUGCAUGUAUAGAAUGUCUCGCUUGGAAUAGAAAUCAACAAGUCAUAGCCCAAAUAUUCUUUUGACAGCCAUCUAGCCGGUUCGAUGAGCUGCCAGAUGACUUUGAUCCAAGUGGAAGGCCUGGAUCAUUUGAUGAUGGAGACCCACAGACCACAAAUCUUUAUGUUGGAAAUUUGUCACCUCAGGUAAAUUUUUUGUUAUCAAGUUGGCUUUUUCGAUACUAUAAUUUUAGUAUGGUGGUUUGUGAUCCUACUGUUUAAAGAAAAUAUGAUCCUUAAUGAUGUUAGGUUGAUGAAAAUUUCCUUUUGCGGACUUUUGGAAGAUUUGGACCUAUUGCCAGUGUGAAAAUAAUGUGGCCUAGGACAGAGGAGGAGCGUAGACGCCAAAGGAACUGUGGUUUUGUAGCUUUCAUGAAUAGGCUUGAUGCACAAGCUGCAAAGGAUGAAAUGCAAGGUUUGCUUGGUUUAUUUAUAAUGUUUUUCGAAUUUUACUUUAUAUUGCAUCUCUUGUUAAAGAAGUUGGCUCUGCAGAAGAGCAUUUUUUUACUUUCGCCAUUUGAAAUUUGUACGCAAUUUCAGACCUUCUUUUAAGAGGUUAAUUGACGAGGAUCAUUUCCAUUCUGUUUAAAACUGUAAACCCUGACACGUAGAAUAUCUGGCUAUGUAAAUGAAAGGGUUUGGUUGGUUAAGGUGUUGUCCAUUGUAUAACCCAUUUGGUCGUGGUAUUCGAUUGCCAAAAAGGCAACUUGCCUUUGGAGUCCAAAUACCCAAAACUGGAUGUAAAAAGAUUUGUGUUGUUUUGCUAAUAGUUUUGCCAAUUAUUUAUGCACGGAUAUUUGUUUAUUGUUCAUGUAAUCUUUUUAUUCUCAUGGUCAUCAUAUUUAAGUAAUAUAGACUAGUAAGUAAAGUGAAUAUUGAGGACAUAACUGCGAGUGUUUCAUGGCUCUUGAAGGUGAACAUCCAUUAAUUUCAUGCAUCUUGUUGAAUUCAACUUUUGUUAAUUGACUUAUAAAAUGUAUUUAUACUGCCAGCUGCGUUUGGGGUGCCUUGCAGAACCUUUUAAUAAUCAGGUGUGGGGUUUAGAGAAGAAAAUAGAAAUUUAGUUAGCUUAAGCUAGCUUGUAUACGGAGCUGCCAUGAUUGUGAAAUUUCAUUCUAGGCUUCUACUAGGCUGUGAAGAGGUACAAUCAGGUGGAAUGCCGCCACUCUGCCUGGGAUAAUUUACACAUUCCACAAUCUUCCUAAAAUGUAAAUUUUCUUUUAGGGAUCCCCAAUUCUGUGCUGCCUCUGUUACUGAUUGAUUUGAUAGACCUCAGGUUAGAAGUUAAUGGUUCUCAUGUUACAACAAUUGGAGUAUAAAACCAACAACCCACUCCAAGUGGGAUAAAUUCUAAUUUACUCUAAUGUACCUUGAGUUUUUACUUUGUUGCACAAUUUACCGGACUCAGUUCUUGCAUGAGCUGCCUAGUAUGCUGUUUAUUCAUACCUUUUUCAGAGGAAGAGAAAGAGACUGAAUCGUCUCUUUAUGGCUCAGGUGUGGUAGUUUAUGAAUACGAGUUAAAGAUUGGCUGGGGUAAAUCUGUGGCUCUUCCAUCACAAGCACUUCCUGCUCCCCCUCCAGGUCAAAUGGCCAUCAGGAGUAAGGAGGUUUGGCUUUGUUUCCCAUCCCUCCCCAGUUUAUGCACAACAUAGUAUUUCCUUUUCUUGCCGGGCUGAAAAACAGUUGCUGAGAUGGCAUUUUCUAUGUUUUACAGGGUGCCACUGUUAUCUUGUCUGGCCCUUCAGGUCCUCCAGUUACUACAGUGCCUAGUCAAAAUUCUGAGUUGGUAGGUUAACAUAAUACUCUGUUGUUUGUCCCUUUUUUGUAAGUAUUUACUGAUUUUCUUCCCCUCAUUUGGAAAGCAAGGAAAUUAAGCUUGUUAUCAAGUGGAGAAAAGGUGAUUUUAUGGUAAAAGAGAAGGUGUAGGUCUUAUGGCUGAGAAAAUUUUCUUGUCAAAGGAAUGUUAAAAAUUGCAACUGGUUCUUUGGAGUCUCUUGUAUACUGUGUUGUGGAAUUCAAUUUGUUCAGUGUGAAAGCAGUUUUUUCUGGCAUAAUUCAUUCUUGAUACUUGAUGCAGCUGUUGACAGUUAGAAGUCUACUGUUAUUUAAUCCAUUUUAAGGUACUUAUAAAGGUGUUGCCAAACUUUUGUUAACGGGACGCAAGCUUGAAUUUUUUUAUCUGUACACCUAUGAUUUUCAUGAAUAUUUAUAAUCCACCAUUGUAGCUUGGUUUUUUGGUUUGUUGAAAUCAUCUUUACUAUGUUUAAUCUUUGUGAACCUUCAUCCAUCUAGUUAGUUUCUAUACUUUUAUUUGUUUGAUUGUGCCUCAAUAUGUCAGUUACUAAUGUUGUCCAUCCUAGCAGGAACACGUCUUAACUUUUUAUUGGUUUUUUGGUUUGUUCAACUCUUUAUUGAUCCUUGAUUGUCUAGUCUUCAUGAACCUUCAUCCAUCUUCUUAGUCUCUUUAAUUUUAUAUUUUUAAGCAUUUCAGUUAAUAAUGUUGCUCAUUUUAGCUGGGAUAUUUUUAAAUGUUUGUCUCUCCUAUUGGUUGAAUUAGUGUAACUUAACAUUUCCAUGAUGUUAAAGCUAUAGUUGCCAUUGGUUUUGAGCUGCUCAUAUUGUUCUGAUGAGUGCAGAAAUUUGAGUUUAUUUUCAUAUUUCUAUCAUGCAGCCUAAGUGCUAGUAUGAGGUUGCCCUGAUUAACCCUUUAUUAUUAUCGGGAUAAACAUGUAAUGGUUUCUACUUCCUCGAGGAAAACAGCUACUCGACUUUGCUUUGUGUAAGCAUGAUGUCUUUAAACUUCUUAGAUAAGUUAAAGAGUAUUAGUCUAGCAUAAUACGUAACCUAAUAUAUGUAUGCGUUGGUGGAUAAAUUUGAUACUGAUUUUAUUUAAGAACUGAUGAAAUGUUUAGCAUAUUGAUCUGUUAAAUUACUUCAGGAGGCAAAUGUGUCAUCUCCUAUUUGUAUGUAUCACUGAUGAUUUGACUUACUCUACAGGUUCUUACACCAAAUGUGCCUGACAUUAAUGUUAUCCCACCGGAGGAUGAUCACCUUCGCCAUGUUAUAGAUACCAUGGCUCUCUAUGUUCUUGAUGGUGGUUGUGCUUUUGAACAAGCAAUAAUGGAGCGUGGUCGUGGAAAUCCCCUAUUUGGGUUCUUGUUUGAACUUGGGUCUCAGGAGCAUACUUAUUAUGUCUGGAGGCUGUAUUCUUUCGCCCAGGUGAAUCGUUUUAAUUGUUUACAUAGAUGUUGGUUUCAAUUCCAUCUUCAUGAGUUUCUUGUUGCUGGUAUUUUUAGCUGUUGUGUUGUUUUUGUUAUAGCUUUUCGUAAGCUGCUCACAACAUAUAACUAGGAUAUAGUAGUUGAAAAUCAAAGGUAUAUUUAAUGCUCUGAAUACCUUGAUUAUGGUACAUGGGAUGCAAUGAUUAUAGAGCUUAAUGAGAUUUCUCAGUUGCUGUACAAACUUAGUAAUGAUAAAUGAAUUUGUAUGUCAUGAUUAUGCAUGAUUAUGCAUGUUAACAUAUGGUAUUCUUUUGAAGUUGUAAAUCUGACCUGCUUACGUGAUAUUCAUAUGAUCUAGGCAUGCUUUUGAUACAAAAAAUAGUAGCUAAUCAUGAAUUCUAAUUUAGAUUAGCAAAGUAGUCAUGCUACUCAUAUGCGAUUGUGUCAGUGAUGGAUUACGCUUUAAACUUUUAGCACAAGUCAUUUUGGUUUAAUAACAUGUAUCAUUGUGUUAGACAUGUUAAAAGUGUGGUGGUCCAUAUGACCCAUAUCCAUUGACUACAUGCAUCUAGUUGGCACGAUGAGUGAUCCAAUAAUUUAAACCGUUCAACAGCCCUUCUAAUAUAUGGUUUGACGUGUGCAAAUUUUGAUCUACUUAUUACAGAUAAGUAAUGCAUCAUAUUUUUCUUCGAUAAUCAAUCAAAUGAGCAAGGUAAACUAGUGGACAUCAACCAAUCAUGGAAAUUGGGCUCCAUUGCUUUGACAUAGUCAUAAAUGUAAAAGGGGAAACAUAUUGAGACAUUUUUUUUUUCAAAAAUAAUAAUCUGUCAAUUAUGAGCUAAACUUUUAGACGUCAACUGAUCAAUUAAACUGGUUCUUGGCUUACCGUCUUUGACGUGUCAUAGUCAAAAGGGGAGACAAUGGCAACUAUUUAGUUGUUGUUUUUUAUCUAUAAAAAUCGAUUAACACUGUAAAGAUUGUAAAUAAUAUAGCUAAACACAAUAAAUACUUAAUUUUUCUAACACAUGCCAUAGAACAUGGUGGAACAAGUUUGACCUUUUCUGGGCAGACUCAUAUGUAAAUGCGCUUGUUGAGUAAUAGGAAAUCAUCUUUCUGUACAAUGUCUCAUGCACCUAGGUCUCUUGUGUAAACUUCCUUUUACUUAAUUUUUGGGAAGAUUGAUCCAUCUAGUUAUGGCCUGAAAGACUAUGCUGCAACCUUGAGAACUUAAUUUUGUCUUUUUAGCUGUCUAUCCCAUUCCAUAUUUGCUGGCAGAACAUAGCAAGAGUCUGGGAUGUUUUCAGGACAGGGAAGACAUGAUAUUUGCCAUCCUGGCUGUUGAAAUUUAAAUUUUCUCUCGUGUUACCAUGAUGGAUCCCAAGGAAUUACUGAAGAUUCUUGCUUGCUUGUUUUCAAUUAGGGGGAUACUUUGCAACGAUGGCGAACAGAACCCUUCAUUAUGAUUACUGGUAGUGGCAGGUGUGUGCCUUUCUUCAUCUGCUUUUGGUACACUUCUCCAAAUUGCUCUAUGGGUUGAAGGCUUUGUCUUGUUUUCUAUGAUAUUGAACUACUUCUAUUGAAGAAAAAAUGAAUUUUCAGCUUGUGUUGCAUUUAAUCUUCGAGAGGUUUGCUGCUUAAGCUCUUAAACUAGGGUCUGUUUAGAUAGGUGUUCUUUAGGGUGUUCUUGAAAACUUUGCUGUAGAAAAAGUUUAUCAAAAGCUUUUUGGAUGAGUGCUUUUUGAGGUGUUGACCCUUUUGACCCUCUCCUUCUUCCCCUCCUCUCCUCCCAAUCCACCACCCUGCCCCAUCUUUUGACCACCACCACUGCAGCCUCCCUCCCCUCCUCCCUUCAGCCACUCUCCUACCCCUAGCCCCUCCCUUCCAGAUCAUUAGGGGGAGGGAGGCUCCAGCUGGGGGAGGGUUGGUUGGAGGGGUAGGGGUAUGGGGAAGUGGGAGGUGGCAGUGGAUGGAGAAGGGGUGAUAAUAUGGUAGAAUCCCACUGUCUUUUUUUUGGGUGUUUUUGGGUUGUUUUUUGGUGUGUUCUUGGUUGCUUUUUAUGGUGUUAUCGCAAUUUUGUGUCUAAAAUCUUGUCUUUUAAGAAACAAUGGAUUCAAACAGACCGGAGAUUGUAACUUUUUCUAUUAUAUAUUAAAAAGUCUUGCUUAUGGUGUUGGGUUUUCUGAAAUCUAUGGAACCUUAGCACACCAGUUCAUUUUCUUGCAGGUGGAUACCACCUUCUCUUCCUACUGUAAAAGGCCCAGAACAUGAAAAGGAUGGCGGAAGUACAUAUGCUGCUGGGAAAAGCAGGGUGCGUUUUUAAUGUGGGAUUUUAAUUGAAAAAUCAUUCUAGCAUAAUUAUAAAUAAAUCUUUCUUAAAUUGUUUACUACUGACUUUUACAGCGUGUAGAGGUGGAAAGAACACUAACUGAUGCACAGAGAGAUGAGUUUGAGGAUAUGCUGCGUGCAUUGACUUUGGAAAGGAGUCAAAUAAAGGAAGCAAUGGGUUUCGCUCUAGAUAAUGCUGAUGCUGCUGGAGAGGUAUUCCCAGUGAUCCCAUUGAACAUAUAUUAAUCAACGCAAGGAACUUGAACCUUGUGAUGAAGCUUUUUUUUUUUUGUUUUUUGAGUGUGACUUUCAAAUUGAGUUCCACUCUUCCAGAUGAUGGUUCUGCAAUACUUGAACUUAAACUUCUAUUAAGCUCAAGCAUGCAUUUCUGAGAAUGAGAAGUGAAAUAUUUUCGUCUUGGAAAGCCGAGAACAUAUAGAAUUUUUAAGCUUUUUAUUUCCCUUGGCCCUUGGAGGACGUAUGGUGGACUUUUAUCAAAUUUAUUUGUGUGGAACUCGUCUGCAGGUUGUUGAAGUUUUAACUGAGUCACUGACUCUUAAAGAAACACCCAUACCAACAAAAGUUGCAAGGCUUAUGCUUGUCUCAGAUAUCCUUCACAAUAGUAGUGCCCCGGUGAAAAACGCCUCUGCUUAUCGCACCAAAUUUGAGGCAACUUUGCCUGACAUAAUGGAAAGCUUCAAUGACUUGUAUCGUUCUGUAACGGGGAGAAUCACGGCUGAGGCACUUAAGGUAAGACUUAUGUGUUAAAAGAUAGUGGCUGCUAUGUAUGACAGAAUAUUACUGGCUACUUGUUUUGUUCACACUUUUCAUUGACAUUCUGCAGGAGCGAGUACUGAAAGUUCUUCAAGUAUGGGCUGAUUGGUUUCUGUUUUCUGAUGCAUAUGUGAAUGGAUUAAGAGCUACUUUCCUUCGAUCAGGAAAUUCUGGUGUGACUCCAUUUCAUUCUAUAUGUGGUGAUGCCCCUGAGCUAGAACAGAAUACUGGCUCAGAUGACCGUGGGGAAGGUGAAAAGAUUAACCAAGAUGCGGCUUUGGCAAUUGGGAAAGGAGCUGCAAUGAAGGAGCUCUUGAACCUUCCACUUAGUGAGCUUGAACGACGAUGUAGGCACAAUGGGUUAUCUCUUGUAGGUGGCAGAGAAAUGAUGGUUGCACGGUUACUUUAUCUGGAAGAGGCAGAAAGACAACGAGUCUAUGAAGUUGAUGAUGAGUUGAAGUAUCAACAAAGUCAGUCAAGUUCAGCUAGAUAUCCUAGUGGCAAGAAAGAGAAAUCUGUUGAUACAGAUCCAAUGGGAUUCUCGGGAUGGAAUAGUCAUGAGGAUGAGAUGCAGUUGAAAGGAAAAGGAGCAGUGCCUUUGCUCCCAACAAAUCCUGUUGGACAUGAACUAAGUUCCUAUACUAAUGAAGGGAAAAAUGAUUCCAUUUUGCCUGCCUCGAAGUGGGCCAGAGAGGAUGAUGAGAGUGAUGAUGAGCAAAACGGAAGUGCUAGGGAUCUGGGAUUGACCUAUUCUUCCUCGGGAAGCGAAAAUGCUGCUGAUGGACUUGAUAAGAAUGAGGAGCCCGAUUUUACAACUGAUGUGAGCAAUUCAUCACAUUCUGAAAGUGGCUUGAAUGAAGAGCAGAGGUCACUCCUUUAAGCUACUAUCAUAUAGUUUCUGAAAUACCUUUUAAUUAGAUGUUCUUUUGGAUGCCCCAAAGACAGUAUGGUUCACAUUUUAAUUCCUCUAGGGUUGCAGAUGAUAUAUGCUGAUGUGGUACUUUACUAUUUUAUAAUUUGUAGACAAAAGCUGAGGCGGGUGGAAGUUGAACUCAUAAAAUAUCGUGAAUAUUUGGAAGAGCAAGGCACAAAAAGUUCAGAAGAAAUUGAGAGAGAAGUUGAAAGCCGUCGAAGACGAUUACUAUCUGAUUGUGGAUUGUUGGAUAUGAAUGAAGAUGCUUCUGGAAGAAGUAAGUAGCUUUUUGACAACUUUGUUCCUGCUGAGUAUUUAGAAGAAUUAGUGCUUUUUCAGUUCAGCCUGUCUGAUGACAAUAUCCAUUCACCACUUCAUGUGUUAUGCACAACUGUGUAUUUACAAUUGCUAGUAAAAAAUCCCUAUGGCUUAAUCUUGUAGGGAGUUUUAAGCAUUGAAUGAUUUCUUUGAUUGAAGCUUUAUUUGAUCUUUUAAUCUAAUUUCUGUGUGUGCAGCUCUAUGAACAGGAGAAAUUACAAUUUGUCCUGUAAACAGAUGAAAUUGUCUGCAUACCAAAUGACACAUGCAUUCUUAUAGUUAGGUUACAAGUGAAUCCUAUGGUAUGGUCUUGUAGAAUCAAUUGAAUGUGCACAUAUGAACUAUGCUAAAGGAUGAUUGAUUGCAUUCUGAUAGAUUAAAGAGUUGCUCAGAUUUGAAUGCAGCAUGAGGCUCAAGAUUAGAUCAACUUCAAUGAGUAUAUUAUUUUGAACGUAUGCCAAAUAUAUUACAUGUGAACAUGCUUUAAGAAACUCUUUCUUGUCUCUCUUUUUUAACUUAUCAAUGAGCUGUUAUGAACACAGCCCACCAGGAGGGAAAAAGAAAUGCAAAAAAUUUCGAGAAAGUAUACAUCUGCUGGCACUCUCAAAUUGUGGAAGUUAGUUGUCAUGAUGGUUUGUAGAUGUGGAGGUUUAAGAUGAAAAAUAAAUAGGGUAAACAUUUUAAGUGUCCCUUUGGUUGGUGUGUUUUAUAGGGUUUUAUCUAAAACAUUAUUGUAGCUUAGUGUUAUUGUCUUCGGAAAAAUCUUGGUACAUGUUCAAGACACUAGUUUCCCAAAACACCCCUCUUCCCCCCUCCCCCACCACCACCAUUACUGCCACCCACCACCAGCAGCCACCCCCACCUUCUCUCUCCUCUCCUCCCAUUUCUCCCUCUAACCACACCCACACCGGUACCCCCUCUGUCCUUCCCCCUUGACCCACCCCUACUCCCUCCCCCUCAUUUUCCCCCUUUUUCCACCUUCUUUGCUGGGGCACCAGCCUACCCUCCCCUGUCCAAUCUGGACCAGAUGUGGUUGCCAGGAGGGAGGGAAGGGGUUGGGGUGAAAUGGGGGGAGGCGGGAGGGUGGUAGGGGGGGGGAGAGGAGGGAGGGGAGGAGGAGGGGCAGGAGGAGGAUCAGGAAGUGGGGAGAGGAGUUGGUCUGGGGGAGGGAGGAGAGAAGGGGGAAGAAGAGGUAGGGAGGGUGGCAGGGGGUAGGUGGCAAGGGGUGGAGGAGGAAGAAAGAGAUCGUGAUUUUUUAUUUUAUAUUAUAUUAUAUAUUUUUUUUAGUGUAUUUGGGUUGUGUUACUGUAGAGUUGUAUUUCAAAUACAAGAUUUGGGAAAAACUUGAAUCCAAACAGACCCGGAUCUUUGGCUUUUUAUUUUGCUGGGGCCUUUCCAAUAAUUUCAAGGAUUUACCGGUGUAAUCAGAACAAUGUUUGACUUUUAAAGGGAGCUUUUGAUGCUGGAGGAGAUAGGGGUGUUCUUGCCAACCGGUGCUAGCAGAACAAAGAAGGGAAAGGCCCCGCCGCGCCCCGCGGGGGGGGGGGGGUUACAAUCUAUCUCUCAACUUUUAUUGUUUAAUAUGUGCUAGUGCUAAGAAUAUCCUGAUAUUCUAAUUAUUAGAAUUUCUAUCUCCAGUCAGCUUCCUUAUAUAAUCAUAUAUAACUAAACAAGAUUCAAUGACACAUUUGGUGGGAAUUCCUGCUGACCAGUAAAAGACCAAUGUACCCCUUGAGACCUAAAAUUCUAUCAAGUCCUUAAGCUCGGAGAGUUUAAUUCUGUAUCACUUGAACCAUCUUUAGUCCCUGGAACUGCCAUGGACAGAGUCCUUUAGACCAGAACUUGCUUGGAAGUGAUCCCUUAGUUUAUUCUCAAACUUCCGGCAUGCAGCUGCAUCAUCAGCUUCUGCUCUCUUUUUUAUCUUAAUUUUUUUUCAUUCAGUGGCAAAUGCCAGUUCAUUUAUGAGGAAACAAGAAGGAAAGAGGGAACUCUAUAACUUGUCAAGAUAGGUAGCAAAGAUAAUACAGCACAAUUAGGGUCCUUGUAUUUUCCCAAGCUCUAGAAUUCCAGUAUGAUUACAACUCAAUUCAUUGUUUGUGCUAUUGCUCCAGAUUAUCUAAAAUAAUCCUUAACAAUAUUGAAGCAAAAUGCUUCAAUGACACACCCGAGUUGGUGCUUCCAUUUUAUAUAUAAAAUAAUCUUUAACAACGUUGAUACAAAAUGCUCUAAUGACACCUGAGUUAGUACUUUCAUUUUAUAUAUAACAAUCACUCUGUAUGAUCUUUUAUUAUGUAAGAAUUUUGAAAAAUAUGAUUCCUAACACAUUGAUUGUGUUGUAUUAUAUAUGCCUAGAUAAUGUUUUGACAGAAGGUAAAAUCUUGUUUGGUGUGGCUGAUUACAAGAUGAUUGUCUUCUUUAUGUAUGCAUUUUUGGAUUCCUAAAAACUGGAUUUCUAGACAGAGAAUACUGAUCGUGGAUUAAUUGUACUUUCCUAGCUCUCUGCCCUUUGUCCUCUGAUUGGACCUUGCUGCUUUUUCUAAUAUCUUCUCUCUCCACAUAAAUGCAUGAACAUGUAGGGAGGUCAUCUUUGGAGAGAAAAGACAAGAGAGAUAAUUUGCAUGAACCUGUAAGGAAGCGUCGCCGCAGCCGAAGUCGAAGUAAUAGUCCUCCACGAAAAUCAUCUAUGAAAGACAGGGAUAGGGACAGUGAAAUUAACAGAGAAAGAGAGAGACGUCGAGAAAGGGAAA
rnacentral:lncRNA from 1 species